AUUAAAGUUCAGGUGUAUUUUUAGUUACAGUGCAGUGCAUAGGUGUUUAUGAUUUGGAAACAGAUUUGACGCGCAAUUUCAAAAUCAACCGUCUGUCUACGGUGAAAAAAGAUUAAGAAAUGACAAAGUUAUGAGGGUUUAAAGGAAAGUUAGUGAGCGAUUUUUAUUCAACACUACAUUUCUUUAAACAAAGAUUUUCGCUUCACCUGUCAAUUUCUGCUUAUGAGAAUUGGCAGGUAAUAAUCAUAGAAAAUAUACGAAUAUGCAAAGUACUUUAGUUACGGUGACCGGUAACGACCGGAAGGAAUAUUUGCAAUUGAAACAUAGAGAUAUAAAUUUAUUUAUCGAGAACAACGUAAAAGUGACUUUCUGUUAUGACUGUUGAUAUUAACAUUGACGGCAAUGAGACGGAUAUUCGUUUUAUUUCUAUUGGUAAUAAGUUUACUUUUAAAAUAAAAUUUAAUUUUUAAUUACUUAAUAAAAAAUAUCACAAAAAAUCUCAUUAACAUUUCAAUAAUUGUAUAUCCGGUCAGUUUAAUGACACCUCGGUGUUUCGUUCUUACUCGGUAUGUAAUUAGGACAAAAAUCUCCCUCUGUGACAGAGUCGAUCUCAACUAAUUAACACCCACUUACAGAAAAGUCGGUAACAUUUUAUGUGUAAUUAUCGUCUUUCGUCCUCUCUCCUUCUAAUAUAACCUCCUUGAUCUAACUAA
rnacentral:lncRNA from 1 species